rnacentral:rRNA from 1 species
CGGCGUCACGAGUGGCAAUCACAUUUAUUGGGUCUAAAGCGUUCGUAGCCGGUUUAGUAAAUCUUUUGUGAAAUUGUCGGGCUUAACUCGACAGCGUGCAGAAGACACUACUAGACUUGAGACCGGGAGGGGUUAGAAGUAUUUCAGGGGGUGCGGUAAAAUGUUAUAAUCCCUGAAGGACUACCAAUGGCGAAGGCAUCUAACCAGAACGGAUCUGACGGUGAGGAACGAAGGCCAGGGGAGCGAACCGGAUUAGAUACCCGAGUAGUCC